UACGUAGGUGGCAAGCGUUAUCCGGAAUUAUUGGGCGUAAAGCGCGCGUAGGCGGUUUUUUAAGUCUGAUGUGAAAGCCCACGGCUCAACCGUGGAGGGUCAUUGGAAACUGGAAAACUUGAGUGCAGAAGAGGAAAGUGGAAUUCCAUGUGUAGCGGUGAAAUGCGCAGAGAUAUGGAGGAGCACCAGUGGCGAAGGCGACUUUCUGGUCUGUAACUGACGCUGAUGUGCGAAAGCGUGGGGAUCAAACAGGAUUAGA
rnacentral:rRNA from 1 species